AGUUCAAAUAGCACAGCAUGCGGUAAAUCAGGAAUAACUAGUUAAGAAAUUCAGCUGGUAGCUAUUUUCCUCAUCCUUUUUUAUACUUAUAAUUUCAUCCCAGUUGAUCUCAACUGCUGUUAGUAGGUACUGAUAUAAUCAAAAGCUUAGGUCACAUGUGCAUAUUAUCCUGUUAAACACUGGUCUACUUCUUUAAGGAGAGAGUCAAACUAUCCUUGUUUGCAGAUCACAUGAUCUAGAAAAUCCCGCCAUCUCAGCCCCAAAGCUUCCUAAGCUGGUAAACAACUUCAACAAAGUCUCAGGAUACAAAAUCAAUGUGCAAAAAUUACUAGCAUUCCUGUACACCCAGAGUUAAGCUGACAGCCAAAUCAGGAAGAAACUCCCAUUCCUAACUGACAGAAAAAAGAAUAAAAUGCAUAGGAGUACAGGUAACUAGGAAGGUUAAAAAUCUCUAGAAGGAGAACUACAAACGACUGCUCAAAGAAAUCAGAGAUGACACAAUCAUAUAGAAAAACAUUUCAUGCUCAUUGAUAGGAAGAAUCAAUAUUGUUAAAAUGGCCAUACCACCCAAAGCAAUUUAUAGAUUCAAUGCUAUUCUUAUUAAACUAUGAAUGGCAUUCUUCACUGAACUAGAAAAAACUAUUUUAAAAUUUGUAUGGAACCAAAGAAGAGCCUGAAUGGCCAACACAAUCCUAAGCAAAAAGAGCAAAUCUGGAGGCAUCACACUACCCAACUUCAAACUAUACUACAGGGCUACAGUAACCAAAACAGCAUGGUACUUGUACAAAAACAGACACACAGACAAAUGGAACAGAAUAGAGAACCCAGAAAUGAGACCACACACCUACUGUUAUUUGAUCUUUGACAAAGCUGACAAAAACAAGCAAUGGGAAAAGGAUUCCCUAUUCAAUAAAUGGUGCAGGGCUAACUGGCUAGCUAUAUGCAGAAGACUGAAACUGGACCCCUUCCUUACACUAUAUAUAAAAAUUAACUUGAGAUGGAUUAAGUACUUAAAUGUAAAACCUAAAACUAUAAAAACCAUGGAAGACAACCUUGGCAAUACCAUUCAGGACAUACGCAUGGGUAAAGAUUUCAUAAGAAAGACACUGAAAGCAAUUGCAACAAAAGCAAAAAUUGACAUAUCAGAUCUAAUUAAACUAAAGAGCUUCUGUACAGCAAAAUAAACUAUCAACAGAGUGAACAGAUAACCUACAGAAUGGAAAACAAUUUUUGCAAACUAUGCAUCUGACAAAGAUCUAAUAUCCAGAAUUUAUGAGGAACUUAAACAAAUUUACAAGAAGAAGACAAAUAACCCUAUAAAAAAGGUAAGCAAACGACAUGAAUAGGCACUUUUCAAAAGAAGACAUACAUGCAGCCAACAAUCAGAUGAAAAAAAAGCUCAAUAUCACUGAUUGUAUUAGUCCAUUCUCAUGCUGCUAUAAGGACAUAUGCAAGACCGGAAAAUUUAUAAAGGAAAGAGUUUUAAUUGACUCACAGUUCUGCAGGGCUUGGGAGGCCUCAGGAGACUUAUAAUCCUGGUGGAAGGGGAAACAACAUGUCCUUCUUCACAUGGCAGCAGUAAGGAGAAGUGCUGAGCAAAAGGGGGAAAAGCCACUUAUAAAACCAUCAGAUCUCGUGAGAACUCACUACUAUCAUGAGAAUAGCAUGGAGAUAAACCCCCCAUGAUACAAUUACCUCUCACCAGGUCCCUCCCAGGACAUGUGGAGAUUAUGGGAACUAUAAUUCAAGAUGAGAUUUGAGUGGGAACACGGCCAAAUCACAUCACUGAUCAUAAGAGAAAUGCAAAUCAAAACCACAAUGAGAUAACAUCUCACACUAGUCAGAAUGGCUAUUACUAAAAAGUUAAAAAAAAAACAACAGAUACUGGAAAGGUCGUGGAGAAAAUGAAACAUGUUUACACUAUUGGGAGUGUAAACUAGUCCAACCAUUGUGAAAGACAGUGUGACAAUUCCUCAAAGUCUUAAAGACAGAAAUACCAUUCAACCCAGCAAUCCCAUUACUGGGUAUAUACCCAAACGAAUAGAGAUCAUUCUAUUAUAAAGACAAAUGCAUGCAUCUGUUCAUUGCAGUACUAUUCACAAUUGCAAAUACAUGGAAUCUACCUAAAUGCCCAUCAGCAAUAGACUGGAUAAAGAAAAUACACCACAAAUACACCAUGGGACACUAUGCAGCCAUAAAAAAAGAAUGAGAUUAUGUUCUUUGUGGGGACAUGGAUGGAGCUGAAGGCCAUUAUUCUUAGCAAACUAACACAGGAAUAGAAAACCAAAUACAGUAUGUUCUCACUUAUAAGUAGGAGCUAAAUCACGGGAACACAUAAACCCAUAGAAGGUAACACACAUGGGGGCCUUAUGGAGGACAGAGGGUGGGAGGAGAGAGAUGAUUAGGAAAAAUAAAUAAUGGGUACUAGGCUUAAUACCUAGGUGAUGAAAUAAUCUGUACAACAAACCCCCUUAACACAAGUUUACCUAUGUAACAAACCUGCACAUGUACCACUGAACUUAAAAUAAAAGGUAAAAAAUGUU